rnacentral:rRNA from 1 species
UACAGAGGGGGCAAGCGUUGUUCGGAAUUACUGGGCGUAAAGGGCGCGUAGGCGGCCUUCUAAGUCGAACGUGAAAUCCCCGGGCUCAACCCGGGAACUGCGUCCGAUACUGGAAGGCUUGAAUCCGGGAGGAGGGAUGCGGAAUUCCAGGUGUAGCGGUGAAAUGCGUAGAUAUCUGGAGGAACACCGGUGGCGAAGGCGGCGUCCUGGACCGGCAUUGACGCUGAGGCGCGAAAGCCAGGGGAGCAAAGCGGG